rnacentral:rRNA from 1 species
AGAGUUUGAUCCUGGCUCAGGACGAACGCUGGCGGCGCGCCUAACACAUGCAAGUCGAACGGAAUCAAGAGGAGCUUGCUUUUCUUGAUUUAGUGGCGAACGGGUGAGUAACGCGUGAGUAACCUGCCCUGGAGUGGGGGACAACAGUUGGAAACGACUGCUAAUACCGCAUAAGCCCACGGAACCGCAUGGUUCUGAGGGAAAAGGAUUUAUUCGCUUCAGGAUGGACUCGCGUCCAAUUAGCUAGUUGGUGAGGUAACGGCCCACCAAGGCGACGAUUGGUAGCCGGACUGAGAGGUUGAACGGCCACAUUGGGACUGAGACACGGCCCAGACUCCUACGGGAGGCAGCAGUGGGGAAUAUUGCACAAUGGGGGAAACCCUGAUGCAGCGACGCCGCGUGGAGGAAGAAGGUUUUCGGAUUGUAAACUCCUGUCGUUAGGGACGAUAAUGACGGUACCUAACAAGAAAGCACCGGCUAACUACGUGCCAGCAGCCGCGGUAAAACGUAGGGUGCAAGCGUUGUCCGGAAUUACUGGGUGUAAAGGGAGCGCAGGCGGACCGGCAAGUUGGAAGUGAAAACUAUGGGCUCAACCCAUAGAUUGCUUUCAAAACUGCUGGCCUUGAGUAGUGCAGAGGUAGGUGGAAUUCCCGGUGUAGCGGUGGAAUGCGUAGAUAUCGGGAGGAACACCAGUGGCGAAGGCGGCCUACUGGGCACCAACUGACGCUGAGGCUCGAAAGUGUGGGUAGCAAACAGGAUUAGAUACCCUGGUAGUCCACACCGUAAACGAUGAUUACUAGGUGUUGGAGGAUUGACCCCUUCAGUGCCGCAGUUAACACAAUAAGUAAUCCACCUGGGGAGUACGACCGCAAGGUUGAAACUCAAAGGAAUUGACGGGGGCCCGCACAAGCAGUGGAGUAU